rnacentral:rRNA from 1 species
GACGAACGCUGGCGGCGUGCCUAAUACAUGCAAGUUGAGCGAUGAAGAUUGGUGCUUGCACCAAUUUGAAGAGCAGCGAACGGGUGAGUAACGCGUGGGGAAUCUGCCUUUGAGCGGGGGACAACAUUUGGAAACGAAUGCUAAUACCGCAUAACAACUUUAAACAUAAGUUUUAAGUUUGAAAGAUGCAAUUGCAUCACUCAAAGAUGAUCCCGCGUUGUAUUAGCUAGUGGGUGAGGUAAAGGCUCACCAAGGCGAUGAUACAUAGCCGACCUGAGAGGGUGAUAGGCCAAAUUGGGACGGGGACACGGCCCAAACUCCUACGGGAGGCAGAAGUAGGGAAUCUUCGGGAAUGGAAGAAAGUCUGACCGAGCAACGCCGCGUGAGUGAAGGAGGUUUUCGGAUCGUAAAACUCUGUUGGUAGAGAAGAACGUUGGUGAGAGUGGAAAGCGCAUCAAGUGACGGUAACUACCCAGAAAGGGACGGCUAACUACGUG